GUACGUAGGUGGCAAGCGUUGUCCGGAUUUACUGGGCGUAAAGGAUGCGUAGGCGGAUAUUUAAGUGAGAUGUGAAAUUCCCGGGCUUAACUUGGGAGCUGCAUUUCAAACUGGAUGUCUAGAGUGCGGGAGAGGAGAAUGGAAUUCCUAGUGUAGCGGUGAAAUGCGUAGAGAUUAGGAAGAACACCAGUAGCGAAGGCGAUUCUCUGGACCGUAACUGACGCUGAGGCAUGAAAGCGUGGGUAGCAAACAGGAUUAGAAACCCUGGUAGUCCACGCCGUAAACGAUGAGUACUAGGUGUAGGAGGGUCCAACCUUCUGUGCCGCAGUUAACACAAUAAGUACUCCGCCUGGGAAGUACGAUCGCAAGAUUAAA
rnacentral:rRNA from 1 species